CCCUUAGAUGUUCUGGGCAGCACGCGCGCUACAAUGGUCUUCGCAAACGGAUGCAUUCUCGAAGGAGAAUGCCAAUCUUAGAAUCUAUGCCUUGGUCGGGACAGUUGCUUGCAAUUUUUCGACUCGAACCAGGAAUUCCUUGUAAUCGUGAUUCAUCACAUCACGAUGAAUACGUCCCUGCCCUUUGUACACACCGCCCGUCGCUCCUACCGAUCGAAGAGUUAGGUGAAUUGUUUUGAUCGAUAAGAUUUGACUAUGGUCAACUCUCGUUGUGAAAUUCUGUGAAUCUGACUGUUUAGAGGAAGGAAAAGUCGUAACA
rnacentral:rRNA from 1 species